CCCUUAGACGUUCUGGGCCGCACGCGCGCUACACUGACCAGUGCAACAAGCAUCCGUCCUUGGCCGACAGGCCCGGGCAAUCUUUGAACGCUGGUCGUGAUGGGGAUAGACUUUUGCAAUUUUUGGUCUUCAACGAGGAAUUCCUAGUAAACGCAAGUCAUCAACUUGCAUUGAUUACGUCCCUGCCCUUUGUACACACCGCCCGUCGCACCUACCGAUUGAAUGGUCCGGUGAAGCCUCCGGAUUGGCGCGCACCCCGGUGCCGCCGAGAAGUUGGCUAAACCUUACCAUUUAGAGGAAGGUGAGGUCGUAACA
rnacentral:rRNA from 1 species